GAUGAACGCUGGCGGCGUGCCUAAUACAUGCAAGUCGAGCGAACAGACGAGAGUGCUUGCACUCUCUGACGUUAGCGGCGGACGGGUGAGUAACACGUGGGUAACCUACCUAUAAGACUGGGGUAACUUCGGGAAACCGGAGCUAAUACCGGAUAAUAUUUAGCUUCGCAUGAAGCAAUAGUGAAAGGCGGUUCUGCUGUCACUUAUAGAUGGACCCGCGGUGUAUUAGCUAGUUGGUGAGGUAACGGCUCACCAAGGCAACGAUACAUAGCCGACCUGAGAGGGUGAUCGGCCACACUGGGACUGAGACACGGCCCAGACUCCUACGGGAGGCAGCAGUAGGGAAUCUUCCGCAAUGGACGAAAGUCUGACGGAGCAAUGCCGCGUGAGUGAAGAAGGUGUUCGGAUCGUAAAACUCUGUUGUAAGGGAAGAACAAGUACGUUAGUAACUGAACGUACCUUGACGGUACCUUACCAGAAAGCCACGGCUAACUACGUG
rnacentral:rRNA from 1 species